AACAGGAGAAAGAACAGCCGAAUGGGAGGAGGAGAAUGGGCGAAAAGGGCGCCAAAGUGACAGGCAGACCGGCAGUGUAAUGGAGGGAGAAAAGGAAGCCCUAGAGCUUAACAAGGAGGUACCAGUAAAGGUAGAGUAGAAUUAAGCCGGACAGAGGGGUCUAGAACCCUGGGGUCAAACAAAAUAUACACAUAAAGUCAAAAUAUAUACAAAUUACCAGCAAUAAUAAACCAGUGAAUGGUAAAAGUUAUCAGCAGUGAAAAAGUCAACAGUGUAGAAAAACAGUAGACAAAAAACCAUAAGGCUAUGAUAGAGUGAAUUAGUCAUGUACUUAUCUGUUUGGUAGCAGCAGAGAAAGAGGAAUUGGAUGGGAAGGUGCUGCCUAUUAUACUGG